rnacentral:rRNA from 1 species
UGAGGAAUUUUGCGCAAUGGGGGAAACCCUGACGCAGCAACGCCGCGUGGGCGAUGAAGGCCUUCGGGUCGUAAAGCCCUGUCGGGCGGGAAGAACGCUCUUGGUCGACGGACUGGGGGGUGACGGUACCGCCAGAGGAAGCACCGGCUAACUCCGUGCCAGCAGCCGCGGUCAUACGGAGGGUGCAAGCGUUAUUCGGAAUUACUUGGCGUAAAGGGCGUGCAGGCGGGAGAGCAAGUCGGAGGUGAAAGAGCGGGGCGUAACCCCGGAAGGGCAGUGGAAACUGCUU